UCACAUGUUUUGGCCCCCCGCUAACACAUGCAAGUCGAGCGGAAACGAGUUAUCUGAACCUUCGGGGAACGAUUUGGGCGGCGAGCGGCGGACGGGUGAGUAAUGCCUGGGAAUAUGCCUUAGUGUGGGGGAUAACUAUUGGAAACGAUAGCUAAUACCGCAUAAUGCCUACGGGCCAAAGAGGGGGACCUUCGGGCCUCUCGCGCUAAGAUUAGCCCAGGUGGGAUUAGCUUGUUGGUGGGGUAACGGCUCACCAAGGCAACGAUCCCUAGCUGGUCUGAGAGGAUGAUCAGCCACACUGGAACUGAGACACGGUCCAGACUCCUACGGGAGGCAGCAGUGGGGAAUAUUGCACAAUGGGGGAAACCCUGAUGCAGCCAUGCCGCGUGUAUGAAGAAGGCCUUCGGGUUGUAAAGUACUUUCAGUCGUGAGGAAGGUUAGGUAGUUAAUAACUGCCUAGCUUGACGUUAGCGACAGAAGAAGCUCCGGCUAACUCCGUGCCAGCAGCCGCGGUAAUACGGGGGGAGCGAGCGUUAAUCGGAAUUACUGGGCGUAAAGCGCAUGCAGGCGGUUUAUUAAGUCAGAUGUGAAAGCCCCGGGCUCAACCUGGGAAAGUCAUUUGAAACUGGUAAACUAGAGUCUUGUAGAGGGGGGUAGAAUUUCAGGUGUAGCGGUGAAAUGCGUAGAGAUCUGAAGGAAUACCAGUGGCGAAGGCGGCCCCCUGGACAAAGACUGACGCUCAGAUGCGAAAGCGUGGGGAGCAAACGGGAUUAGAUACCCCGGUAGUCCACGCCGUAAACGAUGUCUACUUGAAGGUUGUGGCCUUGAGCCGUGGCUUUCGGAGCUAACGCGUUAAGUAGACCGCCUGGGGAGUACGGUCGCAAGAUUAAAACUCAAAUGAAUUGACGGGGGCCCGCACAAGCGGUGGAGCAUGUGGUUUAAUUCGAUGCAACGCGAAGAACCUUACCUACUCUUGACAUCCAGAGAAUUUGCUAGAGAUAGCUUAGUGCCUUCGGGAACUCUGAGACAGGUGCUGCAUGGCUGUCGUCAGCUCGUGUUGUGAAAUGUUGGGUUAAGUCCCGCAACGAGCGCAACCCUUAUCCUUGUUUGCCAGCACGUAAUGGUGGGAACUCCAGGGAGACUGCCGGUGAUAAACCGGAGGAAGGUGGGGACGACGUCAAGUCAUCAUGGCCCUUACGAGUAGGGCUACACACGUGCUACAAUGGCGCAUACAGAGGGCUGCAAGCUAGCGAUAGUGAGCGAAUCCCACAAAGUGCGUCGUAGUCCGGAUCGGAGUCUGCAACUCGACUCCGUGAAGUCGGAAUCGCUAGUAAUCGUGAAUCAGAAUGUCACGGUGAAUACGUUCCCGGGCCUUGUACACACCGCCCGUCACACCAUGGGAGUGGGCUGCAAAAGAAGUAGGUAGUUUAACCUUCGGGAGGACGCUUACCACCUAGAAGAAAUAACAUGAAA
rnacentral:rRNA from 1 species